UGGGGAAUUGUUCGCAAUGGGCGCAAGCCUGACGACGCAACGCCGCGUGGAGGAUGAAGAUCUUCGGGUUGUAAACUCCUUUCGAUCGAGACGAAUGGCCCUUGGGUUAACAUCCCGAGGGAGUGACGGUACCGAGAGAAGAAGCCCCGGCUAACUCCGUGCCAGCAGCCGCGGUAAUACGGGGGGGGCAAGCGUUGUUCGGAAUUACUGGGCGUAAAGGGCUCGUAGGCGGCCAAUUAAGUCAUACGUGAAAUCCCUCGGCUUAACCGGGGAACUGCGUAUGAUACUGGAUGGCUUGAGUUCGGGAGAGGGAUGCGGAAUUCCAGGUGUAGCGGUGAAAUGCGUAGAUAUCUGGAGGAACACCGGUGGCGAAGGCGGCAUCCUGGACCGAUACUGACGCUGAGGAGCGAAAGCCAGGGGAGCAAACGGGAUUAGAUACCCCGGUAGUCCUGGCCCUAAACGAUGAAUGCUUGGUGUGGCGGGUAUCGAUCCCUGCCGUGCCGAAGCUAACGCAUUAAGCAUUCCGCCUGGGGAGUACGGUCGCAAGAGUG
rnacentral:rRNA from 1 species